CCUACGGGAGGCAGCAGUGGGGAAUAUUGCACAAUGGGGGAAACCCUGAUGCAGCGACGCCGCGUGAGUGAAGAAGUAAUUCGUUAUGUAAAGCUCUAUCAGCAGGGAAGAAAAUGACGGUACCUGAGUAAGAAGCCCCGGCUAACUACGUGCCAGCAGCCGCGGUAAUACGUAGGGGGCGAGCGUUAUCCGGAAUUACUGGGUGUAAAGGGAGCGUAGACGGCGAGGUAAGCCUGAAGUGGAAGCCCGCGGCCCAACCGCGGAACUGCUUUGGGAACUGUUUUGCUGGAGUAUGGGAGGGGUAAGCGGAAUUCCUGGUGUAGCGGUGAAAUGCGUAGAUAUCAGGAGGAACACCGGUGGCGAAGGCGGCUUACUGGACCAUAACUGACGUUGAGGCUCGAAAGCGUGGGGAGCGAACAGGAUUAGAUACCCUAGUAGUC
rnacentral:rRNA from 1 species